CAAAUAAGCGGAGGAAAAGAAACUAACAAGGAUUCCCCUAGUAACGGCGAGCGAAGCGGGAAGAGCUCAAAUUUGAAAUCUGGUGGCCUCAGGUCAUCCGAGUUGUAAUCUAUAGAAGUGUUUUCCGUGCUGGCCCAUGUACAAGUCCCUUGGAACAGGGCGUCAUAGAGGGUGAGAAUCCCGUCCUUGACAUGGACUACCAGUGCUCUGUGAUACACUUUCAACGAGUCGAGUUGUUUGGGAAUGCAGCUCAAAAUGGGUGGUAAAUUCCAUCUAAAGCUAAAUAUUGGCGAGAGACCGAUAGCGAACAAGUACCGUGAGGGAAAGAUGAAAAGCACUUUGGAAAGAGAGUUAAACAGUAUGUGAAAUUGUUGAAAGGGAAACGAUUGAAGUCAGUCGUGCUCAAUGGACUCAGCCGUUCUGCGGUGUAUUUCCAUUGGGUGGGGUCAACAUCAGUUUUGAUCGCUGGAUAAAGGCAGGAGGAAUGUAGCACCCCCGGGUGAACUUAUAGCCUCUUGUCACAUACAGUGGUUGGGACUGAGGAACGCAGCAUGCCUUUAUGGCCGGGAUUCGUCCACGUACAUGCUUAGGAUGUUGACAUAAUGGCUUUAAACGACCCGUCUUGAA
rnacentral:rRNA from 1 species